rnacentral:tRNA from 1 species
GGCGCUAUAGUGUAGUGGUUAUCACUUGGGAUUCUGAUGAGUGUUCCCAAAACCCAGGUUCGAGCCCUGGUAGCGCCU